UGGACAUACCAUACAUGCUUAUCAAUGCAAAGUCUUGUCAGAUCUCUGAAGCUAAGCAAAACUGGGCCUAGUUAGUACUUGGAUGGGAGACCACUGGGAAUACCAGGUGCCAC
rnacentral:rRNA from 1 species